GAUGAACGCUGGCGGCGUGCCUAAUACAUGCAAGUCGAGCGAAUGGAUUAAGAGCUUGCUCUUAUGAAGUUAGCGCCGCACGGGUGAGUAACAUGUGGGUAACCUGCCCAUAAGACUGGGAUAACUCCGGGAAAAAGGGGCUAAUACCGGAUAACAUUUUGAACCGCAUGGUUCGAAAUUGAAAGGCGGCGUCGGCUGUCACUUAUGGAUGGACCCGCGUCGCAUUAGCUAGUUGGUGAGGUAACGGCUCACCAAGGCAACGAUGCGUAGCCGACCUGAGAGGGUGAUCGGCCACACUGGGACGGAGACACGGCCCAGACUCCUACGGGAGGCAGCAGUAGGGAAUCUUCCGCAAUGGACGAAAGUCUGACGGAGCAACGCCGCGUGAGUGAUGAAGGCUUUCGGGUCGUAAAACUCUGUUGUUAGGGAAGAACAAGUGCUAGUUGAAUAAGCUGGCACCUUGACGGUACCUAACCAGAAAGCCACGGCUAACUACGUGCCAGCCGCCGCCGUAA
rnacentral:rRNA from 1 species